CAAGAAUCAAAUAUGUAAAUUAUGCUUUAAACAAUAAAGUAGGAUUUAAAUCAUUUAAAAAACUAAACUGCAGGGAAUUUCAGAUGACGUAAGCAUUAUUUCAUUUUGAGGGUAGUUUAUUUUUUUCUCUGUCCUUUUGGUAUGAUUAAACAAGAAAUAAAAGGUGUUGUGGAACCUUAAAAUUCUUAAUUCAAAAUAUUCGGUCCUGUCCACUGUUUAUAAUAUUUUGUGCCUUGAAGGGAAUGUCACAGGAGGAAAAGGAAGACUAAAACCUGCAUACUAAAUGCCCUCAUAACUAUAAAUCUCUUGUUGUUAAAAAACAUCUCUUGCGCCAAAACUUGCCUUCAGUCUUUUGUUUAACCCUCAGUGAACUAUCAAUUGAAGGCAUAAGUUGGCCUUAGCUUGUACACAGGUGUCAACCUCUACUUGACAUUUACUGUAUAAUCUGCAGCAUGCUAUAGAAAGUGGGAAGGAAGGGAGGAAAAUAAUUACAGUCAAAAUAUUUCCAAUCUAUCUGCUCAUUUUGCUUUCAAUCACUAGAGCGCAUUAUAUUUUUAAUGCAAGUUUGUCUGGGAUGUCAACUGCCUACAGAUGUUUAUUACUAGCAGAACAGAUUAUUUAUUAAUAGAUUGUUUCUUUUCAUACAGUCCAGUGGUUCAUCAUCAGGAACUUUCGGUUGUAAAAAAAGAAAUAUUACUUUUGUCUGCUAAAGUAAACCAUAUAUAGGGAAAUUAACACCUAGGAAAAGAAAACUGGCAAGAGAAUUGAUGAGAUAUUAGUGGCUUAGAAGAAUUAGUAAUAUAAGUUGGGAAUAAAGGGGUAGCCCCAUAGUGGUAAGUAAAGAUGUAGUUCUCCAUUGUUUUUGCUAUUUAAAUAUAAUGUAUCAAAAACCUUUAUUCCAAAUAAUUUCCCCAAAUGGUUUAUUUUAUUCAUAUCCUAUGUAAUCCUAGAAGCACCUUCUCACUAUGUGCUGUAGUUUGAAACCUAACUAAUCCUCCUACUGGAGACACUGUAGAGAAGUAAAAAUUGUUGCUUCUCUUUUGUUUUAAGAGGAAAUGAGAAGGCCAGCAGAAGUAGAUUAAAACUAGAGAGCUGGUUUAUUAAAAUAAGCAGAUAAUUACCCAGGCUUAAAGUAAUAGCUUACAUGUUUUGAAAAUCUUUGUACUUAUUUUUGUUUUUAUUGUUGCAAAAAAUGUUAAUGGGCUGUUGAAAUGACCUCCAUUUACUUAAGGUAAUCCAAUAAGAUCUUUUUUAAAUAUACAAAUUUUACUCAAGUUUAAAUUGUGCAAAACUGCUUAGAAACCUGAAAUUUUAUAGUGUGUAAUAUCUUAUGUGUAUAUAGCAUCCUGAGCUGUGUGAUACAGUAGAUUUCUUCUUAACAGAAACAUCAUGCGAGGUGGAUUUAAUAAACCACAAAAAUCAGCUUAUGUUUCUACUUAUUGAAUCUGCUUUACUUUUUAGUAAUUUUCUUCCUUGUGAACAUGAACCAUAUAAAGUGUCUGUGACUUAAUGAUUUCAUGUAAGUCUUUCGCAUACAUCCUUCUUUUGUAACUUACACCAUGUGGAUGCUCUGUCUGUAGACAUUGCUUGAUAAAAGGAGAAUAAACCUCUUACAUUU
rnacentral:lncRNA from 1 species